rnacentral:rRNA from 1 species
CAAAAGCGUAUAUUAAAGUUGUUGCAGUUAAAACGCUCGUAGUCGGGUUUCGGGUCGGGCCGAGCGGUCUGCCGAUGGGUAUGCACUGUUUGGCGCGGCCUUCUUUCCGGAGACCGCGGCUACUCUUAACUGAGCGGGCGUGGGAGACGGAUCGUUUACUUUGAAAAAAUCAGAGUGUUUCAAGCAGGCAGCUCGCUCUUGCAUGGUACAGCAUGGGAUGAUUGAAUAGGACUCCGGUGCUAUUUUGUUGGUUUCGAACACCAGGAGUAAUGAUUAACAGGGACAGUCAGGGGCACUCGUAUUCCGUCGAGAGAGGUGAAAUUCUCAGACCAAUGGAAGACGAACCACUGCGAAAGCAUUUGCCAGGGAUGUUUUCACUG